GCAUGCGCAAAGCGCUUAGAUUCUCGUCGCAAAUGUCAGCGACGCGGACAAACAUUGACAGAUUCUUUCGGCGGUUCAGAGCGUAAAGAUAGGAAAUGAGUGAUUUCUCUAACUAUAAUUUAUAUUCUGAAUAAUAGAGGAGCUUAAAGCAAAGGGAUUAACGCAGACAUGGAUCAGGAGUUUGAGGAUAUGGAUUCAGAGAGCCGCUGGCAAAAUCUUUAUUUAGAGAUACGCAACCAGUCGCACGAGUGUGCUUUCAAAGUAGCCAAGUAUCCAGAGAAUCGCAACCGCAACAGAUACAGAGACGUCAGCCCAUUUGACCACAGUCGGGUGAAAUUAGAAAACACAGAGAAUGACUACAUCAAUGCCAGCCUGGUGGUAAUGGAAGAGGCUCAAAGAAGGUACAUUCUUACCCAGGGUCCUUUGAGGAACACAUGUGGUCAUUUUUGGCUGAUGAUCUGGGAACAGAAGACCAAAGCAGUUAUCAUGCUCAACAGAGUAAUAGAGAAAGGCUCGGAAAAGUGUGCACAAUACUGGCCAACACAAGAUGAGCGCGAGAUGUCGUUUCGUGACACCCGCUUUGUGGUAACACUAGUGUCAGAGGACGUCAAAUCAUAUUACACCAUCAGAUUGCUGGAGCUGCAGAAUGGAAAUACAGGGGAGACGAGGGAGAUCUACCACUUUCAUUAUACCACAUGGCCAGACUUUGGCGUCCCAGAUUCCCCUGCCAGUUUCCUGAACUUCCUGUUUAAGGUGCGAGAGUCUGGAUCGCUCGGGAUGGACCAAGGUCCGGCAGUGGUCCACUGCAGUGCAGGAAUCGGGCGGUCUGGAACGUUCUCUCUGGUCGACACCUGUCUUGUCUUAAUGGACAGGAGGAAAGACCCAUUGGCGGUAGACAUCAAAAAGAUUCUGCUGGAUAUGCGGAAGUACCGGAUGGGUCUGAUUCAGACUCCCGACCAGCUGCGUUUCUCCUACAUGGCUGUGCUGGAAGGAGCCAAAUACAUUAUGGGAGACUCCUCUGUUCAGAAACAGUGGCAAGAGCUGUCCAGAGAGGACCAGGAGCCUCUGUCCGAGUCCCCUCCGCCACCGCAGCCUCCUAAGUGCACGGAGCGCUUUAACGGCAACAAGCUGUCUCGUCUGGAGGAUGGUAUGGACACAAAAACGGCAAAGAAAACGGGUCUGGAGACCCCCAACAAAGAGCCAGACAAAGAUGCUGGAACACAUGGUCGUAAGAGGCCGAGGGAUGAGAAGAUGCCCAAUUCUACACAGAAGAGUCAGAAACAGACAAAACCCAGGAUCAACGACCCCGAUAAGAAAAGGAAAAGUCUGGGCUGUAUUUGCUGUACGUGACACAGCGAGUGCUGCCUGUUGGGACGUCUUCCCAAUAAGGCAGCUGUGGUGAAUCUCCAGGAUUUUUGUAAAGUUUUCCCCGGCUCCUCCGAAUCCUCAGGCUAGCGAAAACAACCAGUGACUCUCAACUUCAUGGCAACCUCAGCUAGAGACCUCCAUCCCAUAAUGCCCUCCAUCCACCUAUGUUUUUAUAACCGUUUACAGCAUGAACUUGAGGAGAAAAGAUCUCCACUCUGCACAACAGCACACACCAGCACUAUUACAGUGGAUGAAACUCAAUAUCAAGGAGUGCUUCACCAUGGUUUGAACUGGUUUUUAUUUGAUCUGACCUGUUUUGUGUAAUGUUUUUUUUUUAUUAUUAUUCUUUGCUUUUUGUGUUUGGUAGGAAAAAAGCAGCAGGUUCUGAGUAGGCCUAUGCAUUUCUAAUGCUGUUUAUACAUUGUAUUUUUAGACAACUUUUUCAGAGACAAAACGAAAUGCUCUAUUUUUUAUAAGAAAGUACUUGAAAUUUCCUAUCAUAUCUGCAGGGCUGUAUGCUCCUCCAGUUUGUGAGAUUGUUAGACGUCUUACGCUCGAGUGCUCACAUUGUGUACAUAGUGUACCUUAUGAGAUGUAAAAAAAAUUGUACAAAAUCAUGAAAAGACAUUUGAAUAGACACAACAAACAAACCAGCAGUGUCUGAUAAAAAGUAGGAUCCAUAAAUAAAAUUGGUAUCAUUUAGUUUCUUUAACAAUGAGUUGCUUUGUCCACUUAUUCAGAAGAGCUUAAAAAUUCAAAUAGUCUUAUGAUUAAGUAGGGUCCUACUUUACUAUCACUUUCCAUUAUCUCUUCUUACUGUUAGAUCUUUAUUUUUUUCUUGCAGAUUUCUCAAAGAAAUGUCUGUCCAGGUCAAACCCAAUAGUUUAUUAAAGAUAUUUACAUAGAAGGUAUGUGGCUUUAAUAAGUGCAAAAAUUAUGCAGAAAUGGUUUUACAUAUCCAUUUACAUCCCUAGGAUUUUUCCUUAUAAUGAAAUGGUUUAUUAUUACCUUAUUUGGAAGGGUUAUGAAUAAUAAUGUUGAGCUUUGCUCUGAUUGGCUGUUUCACAGUGAGGUAUUUGUCAGUAGCUCACAUUAGUAAACCUUAUAUGUUUGAGCUUGUAUAAAACGAAGAGGUAACACUUUACUUGAAGGGGUGUUUAUAAGACUGACAUGACGCGUGUCAUGAACAUGAAGGAGAUUUUAUGCACGUUUAUGACAACUGUCAUUCACUCAAUUAUGUCAUCUUUUAAUGCAAAUAUGACAUUGUUUGAGAUGUCUUUAUGAUGACAACUUGACAUUACCAAGACAACGUAAGGCAUCAUAAUUUAAGCGCUGAAAAUGCUCCGUUCUUACACCUAGACCUUGGAACAUUAAGAAGCAUCUGAUUGGACGACCUCAAUGAUCUAGCCUAAGACUACGUUUACACGUGGGUGGCUAUUUUGAUACAUUUCAAUCUCUCUGGUAUUAAAAAUAACUUGUGCACACAUGUCAGUUUUCAAAAAAGUGUUUAAUGACACGUACCUGUGUAUAUAUGCAGUCAAGACCACGCCAAACCUCUAGGUGGCGGUGUAACGAGAAGCUCAAGGCCACGUAAGCCAAUCAGAAUCCCGAAAACGGCAACGAAUCACUUCCUGUUCCUCUUUUGAACAAGGUCGCACUUUUGGCAUAGGUGCGAGCUCUGGCGCAUACUGUGAUGUUGAAAUUUUUCCGACAUUAUAUUAACGUUUUUGCAGCGAGGUGACCAAAAACGCUGCAUGGCUUAACCCACGAUUGUACUGUUUUCAUUUAAUUUUACGUGAAUCUGUCUACAAAUGCAAUAAAAUAUAAUUUUAUCAAUUUUAAAUAUUA